rnacentral:lncRNA from 1 species
CUUUCAUUGCUUUUCAAAACAAUACAGCUGUGUUUAUUUGUGAAGUUAAAAUUUAUUUCUCAAAAUUAAAAUCUGGUCACAUGAGCUUUAGUUUGUUUUCUGGUUUAAAAAAUAAAAAGGUUUCUCUUAACAGUAUUUCCAGUGACAAUGCAAGGUAAGUAUAUCAAAGGAAAUCAACAGUUGUGCUUGGGGGCUUUUUGUUAUGGGAUAUUGAUUUCUUGUUUUUUUUCCGUAACAUUGUCUGCUGCAAUUUAAAUAAAAAUUACGACAUUUUAAGAUAUUUCAUAGACAAACCAAACAAAAAUAUAUGUUUUUACUUUAAAGUGAAUGUUUUUCUCUUCAGCUGAUCUAAAAAUGAAAGCAAGAUAUCUUAUGUAGAAAUAUUUUGAUAAUAUUUUUACAGUGAGCUUUCCCAUGUUUUUAUGUCUUAAGUUUCUUUGCUGCGUUUAUGUAGGUUGCACAAGAACUUUUACUCACUUGUAAUUGUGCCUCAGACUUUUUGAAAGUCUACCUUCUAAAUUGCCCCGACGAUCUAGAUUCUACAUGUUACCAUUGGUUUAUUCUUGUGCUUUCUGUAUUUAAAACUUUGGCUGUACUAAGCAAAUGCAAGGUUAUAAUUUAGCUAAUAGUAGUUUACAGACAAUUCUGAUGAUUAUGAUUUCAUUUGGUUUAACUAAGCUGUACUAGUUCAUUUCAUAAGGAAAUGAUACUGUAGACAAAUGUAAAUAAAGCCUGUGAGUCAAG